UUGCGGAGACAGGAUUUG
rnacentral:tRNA from 3 species